AGGAGAAACAGAGACCGAGAGAAAAGAGAGACAAAAAAAUAGAGAGGCAGAGAACGGAGAAGGAGAGAGAGAUCGAGAGAUCAAAAACUACAGUUUGCAAUCAAGAAUAAAAGAUGUCUCUCCCUUCCUAUCAGAUUUUCUGCCAUCACCGUAAACCUCCACUUGCUACCCGACCAUCAAAAUCUCUACUGAUUUGGUUUUGAUUAAGGGAUACGAAGAUAGAGGAACCAAGUAGAGUUCGUAGCGAUACUGCGAUACAGAGAAAGGGAAGGAGAAAAAAAAAAGAUUGCGGCACAGUGAGGAUUUGCUAAUUCUUUCCCUGGAAUAAGAAGAAGUAAGGAAGAUGAAGCGACAAGAAUGAAGAGGAGUCAUACCCCGCCCAUUACGACAUGCUUUUGAUGGUAAGUUGCGGAGACAAGUAGAGAAUCUGUCAUGUAGCCAGAACCACUACAGAGAGCAAAGAGUAGGGAGGCAAUGAGACAUGAGAGAAUCAGAAGUGUUACCAACAAAGGAUGCAAUUUCAACAUGAUUGGUAAACCCAAUGCGGCUAGCUAAUCUUCUUUACAAGAUAGCCUUUAUUGUCUACAACAAUCUGUCAUUAACAUAGAUUGAACACCACAAUGGACAUUAAUGUUACACAAAUUAUACCAAGGAGACCACAUGAAGUACAGGAUGGAGAACUUUCCUUGCAUAAUGGAAAAUCAGUAUCUUAAAUAAAGGACUUGGAGUGGAACUUAGAGACAAAGGUAUCAAAGGAUACAUGUCCAAGUAGAAAGUAAAACCGAUUCAACAACAUUCAUUUCGUUUGACAAAGCGACUGAGAAAUUUGUAUCUAAGAUUGUAAAAGAACUUGCAGAGAUAUAAGCAGAGCUUAUAAACCUGCUGAAGAUGGAAAGUGAGAAGAUGAUAGCAUGCUUAUUCAAAUGCUUCGCAAACGAAACAAUGCUACUAAACAAAAAGCAUCAAAGAAGAAGAAAAAUUGAAGGAGGAAAAAUAGCAACUACAGAAUUCAAUUUAAUUUUCAAUUUUUGUUUUUCCUCCUACGUGUUCUACUAUUUUUAAAGAGUGAUUGAAAUUGUGGAACUUUGAAAUCUGAAAGUGUAAUGUUAUUUAUACAAAGUUGAUUAUUUCAUAGAUUUUAGUCAAUAUUUCACCCUAUCUGCAUAAUUAUGAGGGUUAGCUACUUUAAACUUUUAUUUUAAUGGUAGACAAUUGUAGAAAAUGUAUUUUGUUGUUGUAAUUUUAUGGUUGCUGGUGGGUGAAUUUUCAAUAAUAAAACAAUGAAUGUGAUUGCUAUUAAGUU